CUUUUUUUUCCUCCUUCUAAUUCAACAGAUGCAGUUUAUGUUGCUUUUUAGUCGCCAGGGGAAACUGAGACUCCAGAAGUGGUAUGUCCCAUUAUCUGACAAAGAAAAGAAGAAAAUCACAAGGGAACUUGUUCAAACAGUAUUAGCCCGCAAACCGAAAAUGUGCAGCUUCCUGGAAUGGAGAGACCUGAAGAUUGUCUACAAAAGAUAUGCAAGUCUCUAUUUCUGCUGUGCUAUUGAAGAUCAGGACAAUGAACUAAUAACUCUGGAAAUAAUUCAUCGCUAUGUAGAACUUCUUGACAAGUAUUUUGGCAGUGUAUGUGAACUUGAUAUCAUCUUCAAUUUUGAAAAAGCCUAUUUCAUUCUGGAUGAGUUCCUUUUAGGAGGGGAAGUUCAGGAGACUUCCAAGAAAAAUGUUCUCAAAGCCAUUGAACAGGCAGAUCUUUUACAGGAGAGCCAGAAUGAAGACUGGGGAGGUUUGUCUGAGGAUAUCUUAUGAUUAAGAGCAAUCUAAGGCAUUAGCCCUUUUGACCCCCAUCUAAAUGAUUGGAAGCAGAGACCCCACGUAGUGUACUUGAAGAAAUUGGAUUGACAUAAGUCUUCACUUCAGCUGAUGACAUCUCAGUGUUUCAUACUGUAAAUGUUCACUGCCUUCAUUGUAAUGUUUAGCUAAUGGUGUAAGAUGCUGUUUGUCAGUAUUACUGUUUUGCUAAGCUGCUUCAUUCAGGCCUACAAGAAAAAUAUUCCUUUGAAAAGGGAACCAGGAACUGAAGUCCAAAAAUCAUAAAUGAAAGGGAAUUAGAUUUAAAUUGACUCAGUGUCUCCCUUCACUGCAUUUAGGGGAAGAUUGCAUUUGACUUCAAUAAGUGUACUGUUUUUUAUAAGCAAACUUGACUUCAGGAAAUAAAUGUAUCAUUAUGACAUAGCAUAUCUAAAUGAAAAGAAACUACAUGGACAACUCCAAAUAUGAAAUGUUACGGUGUAGAAAUUGUGUUUAUGCAACCAAAGACUUUUGUUCAUCGACAUUUUAGUCACCACUUGUGAUAAUUCUGCUUAUUUCAGUUGAUGCAUAAAGAUUGGAAAUACCUGUUUACUCCUGAAUUUGUCAUUAUACCAAAGAAUCCUGUUAGGAUCUGCAUAUCAAACUGGUAAAAACUGUUAAGGCGAUACUGCUUUUUGCAAGAAAACUGCAAACUGAUCGACUCACUAGAAAUGAAGGUGUAUUUAAGUGUAGCUACCUUGAGCAAAACUGUGCGAGUUACUAUACUAAAAAGGGAAUGCAUGUAGCAAAAAAAAAAAAAAAAAAAAAAUUCCAAAUAAGGAAACUCUUUUUAGAUCUGAUAUUAGCUUGCUCUGAACAUAAACACAAGAAAGGAGAUAGGCUUCCUGGCUGUACAGAGAGGUGCAUAAUGAAAAUUGGAUACUUUUGAAGAUGGGAAAGAAGGAGCUUUACGGAAGGGACUUCUCAUUAUUUUCUUUCAAACUCUUCAAAUUAAUUUGUAUUUAUUGGUGGUUUAUAGUUAUGCUUUAAUGGGUGUAUAGGUACCUUUAAAAAAAAAAAAACCACCGCACUAAGUGUCAAUGUCAUUUUAACUGCUUUUCUUGACUUGCACCUUUUAAGGUGUGGCACAUCCUUUACGAAACACCUGUGUGAUGUACAGUUGAACCAACUACUUUGCAGCGAGAGCUUUUAAAUAUUAGAUUUGUAUAGUAGAUUCACUGCAAAUCACAUGAAGUGAUACCAAGUAAUAUUUUGACACUUCUAGCAGACUUUCAGUAAUUAUAAACUACACCUGUUUCACUUGAGGAGAUUCAAUUCAUGUAUGCUUUUGAGUUUUGAGGAGGUAGUGCCACACUUUGGAGUAGCCAAGUUCUGCGGUGCGUCGGCACGGUCCCUGAGGCGGCGGGGCUGUUCCCCUCUCCUCCCUCCCCAUAACUUGGCUCUAGGAGUCGGUGUUUUGGCUUGUUCACUUGAGUGAGUAAGUAGUGCUGCGUUUUCACAGAACUUGGCUUUGGCGUUGUUGCUGGAAGCAGUCGCACACUGCUAGCGCAAGCAUUUACACGGCCAUCUGGAGAGCUAGGCUGUGGGCUUGAUGCGAUCUAUGUUAAAUUUCACCCACCAGGAAGGGCUCGGCGUGGCCCCUUGCAAGUCCCCCCAUCCAGACCCCAGUAUAAAUGCUCGUGGCAGCAGAAGGGCUGGCUGGGGCAGGCGUGGGUCUGCAGGCUUCCGUGGCAGUGCCAGGCUGGAGCCUGUGAACUCGGUGUUAGAACUUGUCUGCUUGGGCCCUUUCUGGGAUUUAACCCCACCCGACUGCCGGAGACCGUUUGUAACCUAGGGCACGCAAAAGCCGUGGUGUGCGUUUCCCCAGCGCGGAACGUGCAGGGAUAGAUGAGGUUCAAGUGGUAGCAGAAUGACCCCGUGCGUGAGAUUGUAGUGGUAGAAUUACCUUAAGGCAAACCCGAAGCGAUUUUCUAUGUGUUAAACAUGUUUUUAAAGUUUACACUGUCACUUGUAUGUGCUCGGCUGGAUUAAGCUUUGUUGUGAUUGUGACAAAUAAACUGUUUGACCUCUGUCUGUCACGUUGGUUUAGUUGUAAUAAAUGUCCAUUUUUACACCAUUGCUUUGUGUUUAUAUGUAAUUAAUUCUGGUUUCUGCGGAGGAAAGAAGAGGCUACUCAGUGCUAGCUUAAAAAAAAAGGGAAAUUUUAUUACAGUGCUUAACCUGUUCUUGAGCGCUUUAUUAAAAAAUGUGAGUAUACCGUGUCCAAGAUUAGUUAUUUACAUCCAUUUAAAUUGUACAGAAAGCAAUAAAUUAGCAAGUUUUGGGAAGGCUUACCACAUUAAACAUGAGAUUUAUUAAAGCGUAUGUUAAAUUGAUGCGGUAGUGCCACUUCAUUUGAAAAUUAAAACAAACCACAUGUUGAUUGAGAGAGGGUUCUGGAUAAUACAAACUCCAUAUUCAGUUCCUUAAAUGGAAUUACCAGCAAGUUAAUGCAACAUUCACGAUCCUAGUCUCAACCAAAAAUUUCUCAGAUUAAUCUGUUCUUCAGCUUUCUAAAAGAACUGAGCUGGUUGAUGUUAUCAGCAAAAGUAUGGGGAAAACUUACCAUCUUAGGGCAUUUCUUCAAUAUGAAAUGAAAUUUCGUUUCUUAGAUUUCCUACCUUACGGGGAAGAGGCGAGGGGGGGAGCUAAAGAAUCAAUUAGAAUUUCUGGAUUGUUUAGGCAGGUGAUUGUUGGCUCGAGCGUCUUCUUCACUGAAUCUUAGUCUUUAACUUGGAGAGGCCUUCCUAAACGUCUGCUGUGCCUUUGGAGUUAAUGCCGUGAUGGCCGUCGCCCUGUGGCUGCCUUUAAGUUACCCUGUGCCAUGGGUUAUGCUUGUACGGCUUGCUUUGUAAUCAGUCUCGUAGCUCACUGAAGUGUAACUUGUCGAUGUUGUAUCUUUUUUUUUUAAAUCAGAGAUAGAUACUGAAUUCAGCUGAUAUGUCAGUGCUGAAUAGAAGGAUAUGUGCAAUAAUAGGGGUUUAUUUUAAUUACAACGCACUUACAGUGAAAGCAAAAUCAGCCCUGCUCUUUAGGUGAUGUAAGAAAGUAAAUUAAGCUUUUAAAUUAUUAACUAGCAUCGACUUCCAUGUUUUCUAAGAAGUGCUGAUCCAGGACAGGAAGCAAUAGCAUCUUUAAGCAGGCUCUUGCAUUUCUUUUGAAAAAAUGUUAUUUAGCGCACAGGAAUGUCACUGGUAAACCUCAGGGCCAUUUCUGAUACGCUGAAUGUGGUAAUGCAAAACUGAAUCUGAGAAAGACGCGCUUUCGUCAAAGGACAUAAAGCUGGGAAGUUACUUAGGGUAAGUCCGCCCUAUAAGCAAGGGACGGGCCAGAGAGGAAAGGCCUUUUCAUGUGUGCUCGUUCCCCCCUCCGUAACAAACGAAAGCCUUGCAUUCAGCACGUGGACCCGUGCUACCCCUUCUCGCCUCCCCCCCCACCCCACCCGGUGAUGGUGGGUGGCUGCUCCGGACAGGCAGAAAGGGCAAUCGCGUGGAAGCAGCCGCCAGCCAGAACUGGAGGGCAUGCUGCUGCGAGGGGGGCAAGCCCGCUUCCCAGCUGCCCAAGUGCUGCUGGGCAGUAACGCUUAACUGCCUGUGCUUACAGGAGUUCCCACCACGCUGUCACUAUUCCCCCCUUCUGCCACUGGAAAAAUGCGACCUUGCUGCCCGGCUCGGCUGCAUUCUUCCUCCCGCAGGAGAAGGGUAGGAGCAGCACCUGCUCCCCAUCCCGACUGAAAUGAGCUGCCCAGCAGGCCCUGGCGGGGGGACCCACUGCUGCCCAAACCAACUUCUUGCAGCUCUGUGUAAAUGCCCGCUUUCAUAAUCGCUCUAAAGCACCUCGCAGAAUCCACAACUGAAAAAAAAA